rnacentral:rRNA from 1 species
UCCUACGGGAGGCAGCAGUGAGGAAUAUUGGUCAAUGGGCGAAAGCCUGAACCAGCCAAGUCGCGUGAAGGAUGAAGGUUCUAUGGAUUGUAAACUUCUUUUGUCUGAGGGUAAAAAAGCGGACGUGUCCGUUCUUGCAAGUAUCAGACGAAUAAGCGUCGGCUAACUCCGUGCCAGCAGCCGCGGUAAUACGGAGGAUGCGAGCGUUAUCCGGAUUUAUUGGGUUUAAAGGGUGCGUAGGCGGGUUAUUAAGUCAGUGGUGAAAGCGUGUGGCUCAACCAUACCAAGCCAUUGAAACUGGUGAUCUUGAGUGCAAACGAGGUAGGCGGAAUGUGACGUGUAGCGGUGAAAUGCUUAGAUAUGUCACAGAACCCCGAUUGCGAAGGCAGCUUACCAGCAUGCAACUGACGCUGAGGCACGAAAGCGUGGGUAUCAAACAGGAUUAGAUACCCUGGUAGUCC